GUACACGCUGUGACUAGCAUAUCAAUAAGCGGAGGAAAAGAAACUAACAAGGAUUCCCUAGUAACGGCGAGUGAAGCGGGAAGAGCUCAAAUUUGAAAUCUUAAAGGGUUUCCCUUUACGAAUUGUAGUUUAAAGAAGUGUUUUCUGUUGAGGUUUUGGUAAAAGUUCUUUGGAAUAGGACAUCAUAGAGGGUGAGAAUCCCGUAUUUGACCUUUACUUUCAACUUUGUGAUACACUUUCAAAGAGUCGGAUUGUUUGGGAAUGCAGUCCAAAAUGGGUGGUAAAUUUCAUCUAAAGCUAAAUAUUGGCGAGAGACCGAUAGCGAACAAGUACCGUGAGGGAAAGAUGAAAAGAACUUUGAAAAGAGAGUUAAACAGUACGUGAAAUUGUCAAAAGGGAAGCGUUUGACACCAGUGUUGUUUUUCUGAAAAUCAAUUAGAGAACUGUUUAUGCUAAGCUGUUUAGACUUUAUCAGCUAUCUGUUUAGUUUUGAGCUUUUCUUUAAUGCACUUUUCAGUUAACAAGUCAACAUCAAUUUCUUUUGCUGUAAAAAAGCUUGAGGAAGGUGGCUUGAGAUUCGUCUUAAGUGUUUAUAGCCUCUUGCCUAUGCAGUCGGAGAGAUUGAGGUCUGCAGCGUAGAUCCUUCGGGGCUAAAUGCAUUUGUGCUAAGUUAUAGCAUUUUAUAGACAACUUGUUGACUAUGAUUUGUCUUGUAGCUUACUCGCUUAUGUUAUUUUACCUACGCUUAGGAUGUUGAAGAUGUAGCACAUCAU
rnacentral:rRNA from 1 species